GCAACGGUGGUCUAGCGGAUAGAACGCUGGCCUUGUAAUCCUGGGGUCUCGGGUUCGAUUCCCGGCGGUGCC
rnacentral:tRNA from 1 species